rnacentral:lncRNA from 1 species
GCAGGGAUAGUGCUGGGGUUCUUAUUUUUCUGGAUGGUCUACCACGUUUUACACCUCUAUGUAUACAAUGUCCAACAAUUCAUAAGCAAUAAGUUAACUCUUGUCUUGACAAAUUUGAGAUUAUCCAAAUAGGUUUUAUAUUACAUCUAUUGGAAGAUUAGUUGCAUAAAUUCUUGAAUCUUGAUCUGUGCAAACCUUUUUUCUGGCUCUGUUCAACUGUUUCCAUGUUAGUUUCUUUCAUAUGUUACUCCGUCAAUAACAAAGUUGUAAUUUUUUCAAGACUUGAUACCUCAUUGAUAACAAAUUUUUGUUGGCUAACAUUUGUCUACAAUCAUAAUCAUUUUCUCAAAUGGCAACUAAUUCUUUGUUAAGUUCUCUUUUGCAUGACCUAUAACAGCUAGUUUUCUUUUUCUGUUGUUUGACUCUCUCUCC